rnacentral:rRNA from 1 species
UACAGAGGUCCCAAGCGUUGUUCGGAUUCAUUGGGCGUAAAGGGUGCGUAGGCGGCGCGGUAAGUCGGGUGUGAAAUCUCGGGGCUUAACUCCGAAACUGCAUUCGAUACUGCCGUGCUUGAGGACUGGAGAGGAGACUGGAAUUUACGGUGUAGCGGUGAAAUGCGUAGAUAUCGUGAGGAAGACCAGUGGCGAAGGCGGGAUCUCUGGACAGUUCCUGACACUGAGACACGAAGGCCAGGGGAGCAAACGGG